UCCUCUUCCCCUUUCCACGUUGGUUUCGAGUGUUUUUUUUGCAUUUGAAUUUCUCAUUUUGGGCAGUAGCUAUGUUCUAAGUCUCCAAGAUCAAAUCUAGUUGAUUCUAGUAUACAUAGCUCACUGGAUUUGAGCAAAGUCUUCGGUAUUUGACAAUUAUGAUGAGAUUGUAUUAGAUGAUUGCUACUGUUGUUGUUGAGGCUCAUUCUAUGUAAUAUUUGUACAUGCUGGGAAUCUAUUGAGCUCUAAGUUCAUGGCUAAGUGUUGUUGUUAUUCUACAUGAUGCAAAGGGCGUUGUUGGGAUUAUCUAGCUUGAUGAUUCCUCUCGGAUGGGGACCAAUGUCCUGCCUCACAACUCCUCCUUGCUCCUCCUCCACUCCUUGCUGCACUCCUUGAUUUUGAGUGAGUUUGUGGUGUCGAAAAUGAGGGGAGGAGAAGGGAGAUGGGGCUGCUUAUAUAGUGCUCUAUCUUUGGCUGUUUGUGCUUGAAACUUGGAGACAAAGGAUCCUACUUUGGGGCUGCCAGCUCUACCUCUUUUGAGCUUGAUGUUGAUGUCUUUCAUACCUCUUCAGUGCAAGUACAUGGGUUGUCAACACUUGGAGCUUUGUGGAGGUGGAAUCGAGAAGGAUGGAGGAAGAUCUUUCUCAUGUCAUCUCUAUUAUCUACUUUCCCAAAGUAGCUAACAUCACAAUUGUAGACUUGAAAGUCCUAGAAUAAUAGCUUGAAUUUCUUUGUCUAAGUGUGGCUUCUUUUAGGAGUAGACUAGAAUGUAUGUGUGUAGGAAAUCUUCUCAUGUAAGCAUGUACUACUUGUAUUUAAUUCCUCCAAGUAUUUAUCUAAUAGAAGUAUAGCCUUUAUUUUUA